GAUGAACGCUGGCGGCGUGCCUAAUACAUGCAAGUCGAACGAGGUGCUUUUGUAGCAAUACGAGAGUAUCCUGGUGGCGAACGGGUGAGUAACGCGUGGAUGACCUGCCCCAAAGUGUGGGAUAACAGUCCGAAAGGAUUGCUAAUACCUCAUGUGGUUAUCGGUUUUAGAAAGCGAUAACUAAAGCAGCAAUGCGCUUUGGGAGGGAUCUGCGUCCCAUCAGCUAGUUGGUGAGGUAACGGCUCACCAAGGCGACGACGGGUAGGGGACCUGAGAGGGUGGCCCCCCANAAUGGAACUGAAACACGGUCCAUACACCUACGGGUGGCAGCAGUAGGGAAUAUUGCUCAAUGGGCGAAAGCCUGAAGCAGCAACGCCGCGUGUGCGAUGAAGGCCUUGGGUCGUAAAGCACUUUCUAAGAGAUGAGAAAGGAACAGUAUCUUAGGAAUAAGUCUCGGCUAACUACGUGCCAGCAGCCGCGGUAAAGU
rnacentral:rRNA from 1 species